CCUACGGGUGGCAGCAGUGGGGAAUAUUGGGCAAUGGGCGCAAGCCUGACCCAGCAACGCCGCGUGAAGGAAGAAGGCUUUCGGGUUGUAAACUUCUUUUCUCAGGGACGAAGCAAGUGACGGUACCUGAGGAAUAAGCCACGGCUAACUACGUGCCAGCAGCCGCGGUAAUACGUAGGUGGCAAGCGUUAUCCGGAUUUAUUGGGUUUAAAGGGUGCGUAGGCGGUCCGUUAAGUCAGCGGUAAAAUUGCGGGGCUCAACCCCGUCGAGCCGUUGAAACUGGCAGACUUGAGUUGGCGAGAAGUACGCGGAAUGCGCGGUGUAGCGGUGAAAUGCAUAGAUAUCGCGCAGAACUCCGAUUGCGAAGGCAGCGUACCGGCGCCAGACUGACGCUGAGGCACGAAAGCGUGGGGAGCAAACAGGAUUAGAUACCCGUGUAGUC
rnacentral:rRNA from 1 species